rnacentral:rRNA from 1 species
AUGAAAGUCUAUAUAUCACAGUUAACUACAGGGAGGAAACAAAUGAGAUAUUCCCAUUCACAAGUGUUUAUGCUGAACCCAGACUUUUCACACCAACCAGUUGCAAUCAUGAACGAGCAGCAAAUGUUUGCACUGAACUACUGGGGUAAGGCAGUGAAAUACUUUUUGCUCGCGGGAGUGAAAGUUUGGAACAGAGAAAGAACAGACAACAAAGUGUAUGCACUACACAUAUGCUACUACUUAGAUCCUUAUUUCUUGUCUUGCAAUGAAGGAGUACAGGCCCUUCCAUAUAGGACUUACAAACUGACUAAAGACUGA